rnacentral:rRNA from 1 species
GAUGAACGCUGGCUACAGGCUUAACACAUGCAAGUCGAGGGGAAACGCCGGGGAAGCUUGCUUCCCCGGGCGUCGACCGGCGCACGGGUGAGUAACGCGUAUCCAACCUGCCUCUGACUGAGGGAUAACCCGUCGAAAGUCGGCCUAAUACCUCAUGGCAUCGUCUGCGGGCAUCCAACGACGAUUAAAGAUUUCAUCGGUCAGAGAUGGGGAUGCGUCUGAUUAGCUUGUUGGCGGGGUAACGGCCCACCAAGGCGACGAUCAGUAGGGGUUCUGAGAGGAAGGUCCCCCACAUUGGAACUGAGACACAGUCCAAACUCCUACGGGAGGCAGCAGUGAGGAAUAGUGGUCAAUGGGCGAGAGCCUGAACCCGCCAAGUAGCGUGCAGGAGGACGGCCCUAUGGGUUGUAAACUGCUUUUAUGCGGGGAUAAAGUGAGGGACGUGUCCUUCAUUGCAGGUACCGCAUGAAUAAGGACCGGCUAAUUCCGUG